GGCUAGCUCAGUUGGUUAAAGCGUGGUGCUAACAAUGCAAGGUUGCAAGUUCGAUCCCUGGGUGGGACA